CAUGCAGGCGGUUAGACAAGUCAGGUGUGAAAUCCCCGCGCUUAACGUGGGCAUUGCAUCUGAAACUAUGUAGCUAGAGUUCUGUAGAGGGGGGUAGAAUUCCAGGUGUAGCGGUGAAAUGCGUAGAGAUGUGGAGGAAUACCGAUUGCGAAGGUAGCCCCCUGGACAGAGACUGACGCUCAUAUGCGAAAGCGUGGGGAUCAAACAGGAUUAGAUACCCGUGUA
rnacentral:rRNA from 1 species